AUUUGAGCGACUAUUGUUAUCGGACAGGCUGUUGAGAAGACACAUCAGCGAGACUCACAAGGGCAACAACGCUGUCGAAGAUGUUCCAGCCGUGGCGAAAGUAGUGCUAGAGAAAUGAAACUUUACAAGGAAAAGACUGGAUAUUCUGCAUACAAAUCCCUGCUUUGGGGUUCCAUGGACGCUCAGAAAGCCUUCUCUGCAUCCUGCUGGCUGUGGAAUUGUGUUCCCUGCAAGAAGUUGUCAAGAUGCUUGAAGACAUGAUAGAAGGUUGGUGAGACCAGGUGAAGGCGGCAGAUGAGACAAAAUUGAUUCCCUAUUCACGGAACUUUUGAAGGCUUGGUUAUGUGGUGUGUGUUCAGGCUUUGUAGUGGGAAAGAACUGGCCCCUUGCUGUUGGUCCAUGCCAGCUGCAGGUGGUGCGGUUUGGGGUGCCCCUCCUCUACUGAGCACACCCCUCACAUGUGAUGUCAUCGCUUCAGGAAAUGAGACUGGCGGCAGACCACCAAAGAGUGCCCAGGACUUUUUCUGAAGUAGGCUUGGUUUUUGAAAGCGCUUUGUCUUAACCAGUCACCGCUGGGUGUUGUAUGUACCUGGUCCUCGGAUGUCACAAUUCAGUAGAGAAAUGGUCUGUUGUUGUAUAACAUGAGUUCAGAACAUGUUUUUUAGAUUUUUAGUCAACUCAUAAGAUACCCACUGUUGAGUUUUCCCAGCUCUCCAAUGUGCUUCAAAUGUCAAAUGACCUUAAAUGGUCCCUGUUGAGUCCACUGGCACCUUCUCAAGUUGGAAAAGGAGGCGCUUUGAUGGUUGCUGCCCAUCAACCACUGCCAGCUCCGAUGGCUGGCUACCAUGCCCUUCAUCUUGAAGCCUCUUGUCUCCUUUGCAAGACUUACUGGACCUGCACUGUACAGUCACUAGGAGUCUCUGGGCCAGUCACUGACGUCAUGAGUCGUCUCUCUGCUUUGUGACCCAUUUUAAAAUCAAAUAAAAAAACCACUCAAAUUUUCA